GCCUUGCAUUUAAUAACCCUCUAGGGCUAAGACAGCUUUGUGUGUAAGUCCACUCGGUGCCAUAUGGCAGUUUUCAAUUCCUUUAGCAACUCAAUUCUAGCUAGACUGCCCGCAAUGAUUCAUUCUUAAAGGAAGACCCCUUGGGGCUCAGUAAUGCCCCCUCCACUUACCUAGCUCCCACCGACCCCGCUCGGCAGGCGGCUCGGGCUCCACAAAGAGCUGUGGGAUUCCCCGCUCCCUCCGGGGCUCCUCUCCCCGCGACGGUCCCCUUCGCCAAUGAUCUGUCGCUGGAAAUCCCCCUCCCCUCCACGGAGAGGAGGGUCUCCCCGGCUGGCUGGAGCUCUUGCCUUUUUUUUUUUUUUCCACCCUCUCUUUACAUGCCUGACUCUGGUUCACGAUCUCUAGUAGGAAGGCUCAACGGAGAGGCGGCGGGAGGAAGGAAGCUAAGGCAUCCUUAAAAAGAACAAUAAUCUUCAGAGAUCUUCACCCCCUUCCCCAUCGCGGGUCCCCAUUCCCCUGCCGCCGCCGGCGGCGCCCAGACCAGAGAGGGCUGGGAUAGAAAAGGAAAAAAAAUCGAGCCGGGCUCAGCUCGCCGCGCGGAAGGAGCCGGGAAGGCGAGCGGCUCCAGCCGGGGGAGUUGUCGCUCGCUCGGGCUGCCCGCGGCGCGGCGGCCGGCGGGGGCGCAGGGCGGUGGGUGCUUGGUGGGUGUGUGUCUGUGGCGGAGCCGGGGAGAGGCUGGGCGCGGGAGGCGAGGCGGGGCGCUCGGGGGCGCCGGCUCGGGCGCGCACACCCGCCCGCGGCCACCCCGCCUCGCGCUCCGCCUCCUCCCGCGCUCCGCGCGCCCGCGGACUGGAGCGGCGGCCGCCGCCGCCGCCGCCUUCUCCUCCUCUUCCUGGGCGCCCGCAGCUCUCGAGAGAACUGUGCCAAGUUCCUCCUUGGAGAGGCAGCCAGAUGGACACCCAGAACUUUCCGUAUCUUCGUGUCGAGACUGCAACUCUAUACAGAAAAGAAAAAGGCAAAUGCACCUCACAGAGAACUGGGACACUGUGAAUCAUCUACUUUUGAAUUCUUAAAAUUGGAAAUUAGAAACUUAUGAAGGAUUUGUAGCUAUGCUUGGGAAAUAGUGAAUUUAAAUCUAUCUGUCCGUCUAUGUGCUGUGCUUGGUCGUUCAGUCAUGUCUGACUCUUUGAGGCCCCGUGAACUGUAGCCCACUAGGUUCCUCUGCCCAUGGAAUUUCCCAGGCAAGAAUACUGGAGACGGAGGAUCUUCCCGACUCGGGAAUCUAACCUGCAUCUUUUGCAUCUCCUGCAUUGGCAGGCAGAUUCUUUACCACCAGUGCCACCUGGGAGGCAUAUUUUCUAUGGCACUGUCCCAUUAAUUUAUUUAUUUGUAUAGUCAGUCAGUCAUUCUGGAAUAUUUUGAGCCUCUACUGUAUGCCAGGUUCUAUUGCUGUUCAUGGAUAAUGCAAAAGUGGGCAUGUUGGACAUGAUUUAUGUAUGCACGAAGUUUACAUUCUGGUGAAGGAGCAAACAGCCCACUCUUAAAAAAACACACAGAGAAAAAUGUGUAUUAAUAAGCGGUCUGAAGAAAUUAAUAGUUUGAGAAAGAAACUAAGAGAGGGUGACCUAUUUUUGACAGAGGGGUCAGGGAUAGCAUAAGAGUCAUAUCAGAUGAAAUUGGAAGUGGAGGAACCAUUCCAGAGAUGGUGGGGAACCAUUCCAGAGAGUAGAGAGGGCCAGUGGUGAUAAGGAGCAACAAGGUAUGGACACCUCUGUGGUGCUUGCUGAUUGGGUGAUGUGAGGUCAACAGAGAUUUAUUGGUUUGCUUUAAGGGAGAUAUUAGAGUCUACAAGUGUGCUGAUGAAAAAUGACCUGAUGGAAAUUGACUGGUGAGGCAAGAGUGUGUGCUUUACCGAGGGAGCAGAGCCCUUUGGAUAGUGAGGAUGUGUGGCUGAGUGGCUGUCAGGGAACAGGACUUGAUGGGAGGAGAACAUCCACCGAGGAGGAUGCAGAAUGUGAGUUGUGAAGCUCUGGUGGAAGGAAGGGGAGGGGCUCUGUGUCUGAUGGUUUCUCUUUGCUCAGUGAAAUAUGAGAGAAGAUGCAGCUGUGAGAGAGAGUUGUGGGGUUGUGUGAAAGAAACGAGAGAGAUGUGAAGUCACAUGGAGCCUCCCAGACAAACACUGACACUUUUGAUGUGGUUACAUCCCAUCAUUAUAGGAUGUUUAGCAAAUUCCCUGGUGGCUCAGGUGGUAAAGAAUCUACUUACAGUUCAGGAGACCCAGGUUUGAUAUCUGUGUCAAAAAGAUCCCCUACAUGGCAACCCAUUCCAGUAUUCUUGUCUGGAGAAUCCCAUGGACAGAGGAGCCUAGUGGGCUACAGUCCAUGGGAUCGCACAGAGGUGGACACAACUGAGCAACUAACACUUUCACACUAGCGAAAUCCUUGACCUGUACCAGGUAGAUACCAGCAAAACUUCCAUUGAGUCAUGGAAACAGAAGGUAUCUCUAGACAUUGACAUAUAUACCCCGGAGGAAAAAACUGCCUGUUUGAGAAUCACUGCCCUAAAGCUACCACCAAAAAAAGAAAGUAUAACUAAUAAGCCAUGGAGAAGAUGAAAUGGCGUAAGAAAUACUGGAUUAGUUCAAAAGAAGGUUGGAAACAAAGGGAUAAAGGAACAAAGAAUAGAUGAAACAAAUAGAAAACGACUGUGAAGAGGAUGGAUUUAAAUCCAAUUAUAGUCAUCAUUAUGCUAAAUUUAGGUGGUCUAAACAUCCUGAUUAAAAGACAAAGAUUAUCAAAUUGAAUCUAAAUGUAAGACUCAAUUAUAUGUGCCUACAGGAAAAUCCAAUUUAAAUAGACAGAUGUAGAUGUUAAAAGAGAAAAGACAGAAACUGUACAUAGCAUGGAAAAACUAAUUAUGAGAAAGCUGGAAUAAAUAUGUUAAUAUGAGACA
rnacentral:lncRNA from 1 species